ACAGAAGAAGAAUAAGAAAGGCAAAGGGAACAUACAAGCUUCAAGGAAGCAAAGAAAGAAAGAAAGAAGCAGAGCAAGAAAGAAAAGAAGCAGAGCAAGGAAGAAGGAAGCUGAGCAAGUAAGAAGUCAAGCCAGAAGCCAUAAAGAAAUCAAGCAAGAAGUCAUGAAGAAGUCAAAAAGCCAAGAAGCUACAAAGGAGUCAAGCGGCCAGGAAGGCAUAAAGAAACUAAAGAUCAUAAACUGAAGAAAAGCUGAAACAGAGAGUACUAGCAGCAGCAAAAACAAAGAACAGCGGCUUAUUUGUUUGUAACAACAGAUUUUCUGUUUGUUUUACUCCUUUCGAGUUUGCAGCAACAAUGAGAUCAUCGAAAAUGGCCUAUCAAGGAAAAUGGCUAUGAGGUCCUUCAGUCGAACGGGUGAGUGACAAGAUAGAUAGGAAAGAGAAUUGAAAACUUGAAAUAAGAAUUAAAAAAAAUUGUUUAAUUGGGAAUUAGGGGUUAUUUGCCAUACUUUCAAUUUUUCGGGCAGAUUUAUAAUUUUGGGUUAGAUUUCUUGUAAAGACAAAUUUGUCCCUAUGAAAUUAGCGUUGACUUUGUUUUUUAAUAAUUAGUGUAGUAAGUGUUAAACUUUAAUAAUUCAGUGCAGUGGUUUAUUAUUUCAUUAUACUUGGUAUAAUAAAGGGAUAAUAGCCCAUUGUAUAAUUACAAGUUUUCUAAUUAAGCUAUAUUAUUAUAGAUAGUAACCAUUAAAUGAGAUACUGUUGACUUAAAGAAACAUGAUUUGUUAAUCCGUGUAAUGUGCGUAAUAUUGGCACAACUCUUGGAUUCUCUGUGACUGCGGACUUGGGUAAUUAUUUGGGUAUGCCGCUUUUGCACUCGAGAGUUAGUAAAGCAACGUAUCAUGGCAUAUUAGAGAAGGUGGAGCGUAAACUAAAUGGCUGGAGUGCUAAAUUUUUUUCUUUGGCUGGUAGAAUCACUCUCACGCAGUCUGUGCUGCAGGCAUUGUCGAUUUUUUCAAUGCAAACAACGAGACUGCCCACAGCAGUCUCGGAAGUUAAGAAGUUGCAUUUGAUUAAUUGGGCUGAUGUGUGUCGUCCGAAAUUAUCAAGAGGGCUAGGUUUGAAGAAUUUAACGCUUAUGAAUGAAGCAUUAUUAAUGAAACUUGGUUGGGGCUUGCUGGUCAAUAGUAAUAGCUACUGGGCACAGGUUCUAUGCUCGAAGUAUGGUUUUGAUCCGAACACUAUGUCAACUUCGUUGCCUACAAAAUAUGGCUCAUAUUUGUGGAAGGCUAUUGGUCGGAUUUGGCCAAAGGUGUUGCAGGGGCUUCGAUGGAAUGUGAGGGACGGUAAGCGGAUUCGUUUCUGGCAGGAUGCUUGGGUUGCGGAUGUUGGACCGCUCGUUCAUCUUGCAGCGGCACCUAUUCCUGAAGCUAUUUUAAAUGAUUGGGUGGCUGAUGCCAUUAGUGUUGAUGGUUCAUGGAAUUGGGGCCGGUUUGGGUUUCUUCUCCCUCAUAAUGUGGUGUUAAUGAUUGCAGCUAUUAAGCCUCCUUCCCCGGAGAGUGAGGCUGAUCAGUUUUAUUGGGGAUCAUCAAACUCGGGAGUGUUUACGACAAGAACAACUUAUAAUCUGCUUCUUGGAAAUUUGGUUCAGGAUGAGGAGGUGAGAUGGAAAAGUAUCUGGAAAUGGAGAGGUCCUCACAGAAUCCGGACAUUCCUUUGGCUUGUUGCGAAGGAAAGGAUUAAAUGCAAAGCUGAGCUUUAUAGAAGACAUAUUGGGGUGGAUAUGUUAUGCAUGCGCUGUGGUUAUGCUGUAGAGGAUACGGCUCAUGCUCUUCGUGACUGUGCCACAUCUAGGAGAAUCUGGAAUAUGUUGUUAACAGGUCACGAGACCGCUGAUUUUUUCACGCUGCCAAUUCGUGACUGGAUUUUUGCCAAUAUUCAAGGUCUGGGUAAUCAUGGUAGCAAUAAAGAAUGGAGUUGCAUAUUUGGGGUAGCCAUCUGGUGUAUAUGGGUGGCAAGGAAUCAGUUGCUUUUUGAAGAUAAAGUGGUGAAUGUGGAAAGCAUGGUUCGGGAUAUCAGGGUACGAGCUGAGGAGAUAAUUCGCACUUCUGAGGCUUUUCAAAGUGAUAGAGAUCUGAGAAUCCAAAAAAUGUUUGGUUGGUUGCCUCCUCGAUGGCCAUAUUAUAAAUUAAACUCUGAUGGUGCUAGGAAGGGAUCCGGUUUGGCGGGUGCAGGGGGAUUGAUUAGAGAUGCUACGGGUAAAUGGCAUGGUGGGUUCUGCAUGAAUAUUGGUAUUUGCUCGGUAACAAUUGCAGAACUUUGGGGUUUGUAUCAGGGUCUGAUUUUGGCUUGGCAAAUGGGUAUAAGAUUGUUGGUGGUGGAGAUUGAUAGCCUUUGUGUUACUCAGUUGCUAAACAGAAAAAGCUUUAAUGCUACCUUGCCCCUUGUCAAUGAUAUUCUUGGUCUUCUUUCCCGUGAUUGGCAGGUGUCUAUCCACCAUGUUUAUCGAGAAGCUAAUUUCGCGGCAGACUUUAUGGCUAGCCAUGCGCUUACUCUCCCUCUUGGUCUUCAUUAUUUUACUACUCCUCCCCUGGGUGUCAAGACCUGGCUUCAGAAUGAUGGGCUAGGAACGGCGUUUUCUCGUGUUUUUAAACCUUAGCGUUAGCUGAGGUUCUUUGUUUUAGCAAAAAAAAAAAACGAAACAUGAUUUGUGGUCAUUUAUAGAUAAAUAUGUGCAUGUGCUAACAAAA
rnacentral:lncRNA from 1 species